CCUACGGGAGGCAGCAGUAAGGAAUAUUGGUCAAUGGACGCAAGUCUGAACCAGCCAUGCCGCGUGAAGGAUUAAGGUCCUCUGGAUUGUAAACUUCUUUUAUUUGGGACGAAAAAGGGCCUUUCUAGGUCAACUGACGGUACCAGAUGAAUAAGCACCGGCUAACUCCGUGCCAGCAGCCGCGGUAAUACGGAGGGUGCAAGCGUUAUCCGGAUUCACUGGGUUUAAAGGGUGCGUAGGCGGGUAGGUAAGUCAGUGGUGAAAUCCUAGAGCUUAACUCUAGAACUGCCAUUGAUACUAUCUAUCUUGAAUAUUGUGGAGGUAAGCGGAGUAUGUCAUGUAGCGGUGAAAUGCUUAGAUAUGACAUAGAACACCUAUUGCGAAGGCAGCUUACUACGCAUAUAUUGACGCUGAGGCACGAAAGCGUGGGGAUCAAACAGGAUUAGAUACCCUGGUAGUCCACGCCCUAAACUAUGGAUACUCGACAUUUGUGAUACACAAUAAGUGUNUGAGAGAAGANAUAAGUAUACCACCNCGGAGUACGUCCGCGAGAGAGAACGUUAAAUUAGUAAGUUAGUACGGACGUAGAGACGUUAGCCGACGGACGACGACGAGGGAGGAGGGAG
rnacentral:rRNA from 1 species